rnacentral:rRNA from 1 species
AUUGAACGCUGGCGGCAGGCUUAACACAUGUAAGUCGAGCGGGGUGAUGGUGCUUGCACUAUCACUUAGCGGCGGACGGGUGAGUAAUGCUUAGGAAUCUGCCUAUUAGUGGGGGACAACAUCUCGAAAGGGAUGCUAAUACCGCAUACGUCCUACGGGAGAAAGCAGGGGAUCACUUGUGACCUUGCGCUAAUAGAUGAGCCUAAGUCGGAUUAGCUAGUUGGUGGGGUAAAGGCCUACCAAGGCGACGAUCUGUAGCGGGUCUGAGAGGAUGCUCCGCCACCCUGGGACUGAGACACGGCCCCGACUCCUACGGGAGGGAGGAGUGGGGAAUAUUGGGCAAUGGGGGGAACCCUGAUCCAGCCAUGCCGCGUGUGUGAAGAAAGCCUUAUGGUUGUAAAGCACUUUAAGCGAGGAGGAGGCUCUUUUGGUUAAUACCCAAGAUGAGUGGACGUUACUCGCAGAAUAAGCACCGGCUAACUCUGUGCCAGCCGCCGCCGUAA